rnacentral:misc_RNA from 1 species
GAUGAAGAACGUAGUGAAAUGCGAUAAGUAAUGUGAAUUGCAGAAUUCAGUGAAUCAUCGAAUCUUUGAACGCACAUUGCGCCCGCCAGUAUUCUGGCGGGCAUGCCUGUUCGAGCGUCAUUACAACCCUCAGGCCCCCGGGCCUGGCGUUGGGGAUCGGCGGAAGCCCCCUGCGGGCACAACGCCGUCCCCCAAAUACAGUGGCGGUCCCGCCGCAGCUUCCAUUGCGUAGUAGCUAACACCUCGCAACUGGAGAGCGGCGCGGCCACGCCGUAAAACACCCACUUCUGAAGGUUGACCUCGGAUCAGGUAGGAAUACCCGCUGAACUUAAGCAUAUCAAUAAGCGGAGGA